rfam:Triticum aestivum genome assembly, contig: Triticum_aestivum_CS42_TGACv1_scaffold_450220_5DL
CAAAUACUCCCUCCGUCCGAAAAUACUUGUCAUCAAAAUGGAUAAAAGGAAAUGUAUCUAGACGUAUUUUAGUUUUAGAUACAUCUCUUUUUAUCCAUUUUGAUGACAAGUAUUUUCGGAUGGAGGGAGUAGAAA